AGUGAACGCUGGCGGUAGGCCUAACACAUGCAAGUCGAACGGCAGCACAGUAAGAGCUUGCUCUUACGGGUGGCGAGUGGCGGACGGGUGAGGAAUACAUCGGAAUCUACUUUUUCGUGGGGGAUAACGUAGGGAAACUUACGCUAAUACUGCAUACGACCUACGGGUGAAAGCAGGGGAUCUUCGGACCUUGCGCGACUGAAUGAGCCGAUGUCGGAUUAGCUAGUUGUCGGGGUAAAGGCCCACCAAGUCGACGAUCCGUAGCUGGUCUGAGAGGAUGAUCAGCCACACUAGAACUUAGACACGGUCCAGACUCCUACGGGAAGCAGCAGUGGGGAAUAUUAGGCAUCGAACGCAAGCCUGGUCCAGCCAUGCCGCGUGAGUGAAGAAGGACUUCGGGUUGUAAAGCCCUUUUGUUGGGAAAGAAAAGCAGCAGGUUAAUACCCCGCUGUUCUGACGGUACCCAAAGAAUAAGCACCGGCUAACUUCGUG
rnacentral:rRNA from 1 species